rnacentral:lncRNA from 1 species
UUAAAGAAAGUUGGUUAAACCUUAUGACACUUUUAUAUUAUUUUAUGAAUUUUUUUUAAUUUUUAUUUUAAUGGAAUUUUAACUUUAAUACAAGUUGGAGUAAUUCUUAUCUUAAAAACAAAUCAAAAUUACUUUAAUUUUAUAUAGAAAUAAACUUACAGUAAAUUUACCAUGAAAAUUUCUAAGUCAAAUACACCAUAAGUGCUAGUAUUUUAUAAUAUUUAGAAACAUGUUAAAUUAUUAUUAUUAUUUUUUAAAAUUAUUAGUUUUCAUAUUAGUUUUAGGGAAACUUGUGCUUUAGGUCUUUUAUUUGCAAAUAAUAUGGUUUUCAAAUCCUAAGAAUAGAAAAUAUGAGAAUCAACUGUUAAUGUGGAAAAUAAUAUCAAUUUUGUGCAAUCUCUAUUGACUCAUUUUUUUGUGCCUAGAUUGCCUUCACCCACUUCCAUGUCAACAACCACAUUAAUAGAUUGUUUUUUUUUUAUAAAACAAAUAAUUAUUAUGUUUAAAAUUUUGGGGAAACUCUCUAUCUCUCUUACUUCUUCACUACAUCCGAGACCCAUCUUCCUUAAACGUUUGCCUCUCAUUUUGCCCUAACCCCAAAUCUCAUAAAUUUCUCAUUUUCUUGCCUCAUUUGAAAUAUGAAGAUGACCGAUUCUCAAACAUCUCUGUCUCUCUCUUCACGUUUUGACCAGUCUAAUUGGAAACCCAUUUUCCAAAAACCUUCUUUCUUUCAUUUUGCCCUAACCCCACUAUCUCCCUCUUCAAGACCUAAUCACCCAAACUCGAUAUCUAUCUUCCCAAAACCUUCAAGCAAACUGAACUAGACCCAUAUCUUCUUUUUUCAUCAUCAAAGGUGAAAUUUUUUUAAGGCUUUUGGAAACCGAAUUGGAGCUUUCCCUUCUUCUGGGAUUAAUCAUUCGCAAGUGAGUUUUCCAUUUAAGGCUUUGUUUGGCUGUUGAAAUCUUGGGAUCAAAGGUCUUUUAUUUUCAGGUUUCUUGUAUUUUGCUUUAUUUUCUUGUAUAUAACAAUAAUCAUUGUAACAUAUGCUAGUAGUUACCCUUGGUGCAACUUUACAUUUCCAAAUACCCUAAAGUCCAAAGCUUUUAAUUCCCUUUUCAAAGCUUUCAACUUUGAAAGCAGACUAAACCAUAAGAACUAUGAAACUUAUAUCUCUAUCACCACUAAUUAAGCAUGUCUAUGAAUCCUUCCACUUUAAGUCACUUAUUCUCAAACCAAGAAGGGCUCCUCUCAUUCUCACCCCACCUCAUCUAAAUGAGGGAAAUGAUCAAUUGCAGCCAUGCUUUGCACCAAAUUAGAGAAGUGAUCCUCCCAAUCAUCCAUUACCAAAAAUUGAUCAUGCUGAUGAGAUCAUAAGAGUCUAUUCGGAACUCCCAGUUUACUUGCCUCUUAUCUCAGGAUCCUCCAUUACCCCCUGUCUUUCCAACAUCAAAUCAACUUGCAAACAAUUCCUUUGUAGAUAAAAUGUUUUUAAUAUUGCAAAAGGGGACUUAUCAUAAUGGUUGAAUCGAUUUAUUUGAUAUAAUCACUCAAAUUCAAGCUUAAAAUUGAUCAUAAUAAAAUGUUUUUAAUAUUGUUAAAAGGAGAUUAUAAUGGUUUUAUUUGAUAUCAUUACUAAAAUUCAAGCUUUCAAACAUGCUCUACAAAGAAGUUCUAAAAGACUACAAGAAAGAGUUUCCACUAAAGAAAAACAAUGAAACCAUUUCUACUAAAGACAAACAAUGAAACCACAGAUGCUUUGUGAAAUAUGUACCCGCACAAUCCAACAAACUUUAGAAAUUCACAAACACUACCUAGAAUUUUUGCUGACCAGCAAAAAAUUUAUGCAAUUUAAUUCUUAUUGUUAUUAUUAUUUUCAAUGUGAACAAAUAUGAUUGAAUUAUGAAGUAUUUGGCCAGAAGAGGAUCUUGCCUAAUUAUAGUCAUUAAACAACCAUUUAUACCAUAGCCUCUAGACUUUAAAAAGUUUAUAAAACUCAAGGGCUUCCACCCAAUUUCUAGAUAUCUCCAUAACAUUCUUCUGACUAUUAGAAAGCAAUUACCACUUUAAUUUUUCAUUUCAUGAGUGUUCAAUUCAGAAAAAGACCAGGAUCGAACUUGCGAUCAUGCAGUCGAAAAUCCACCUGUGCAUGAAACUAUUGCCUCACGAUUGCAAACUCAAGUUGGAGUCCAGUAACAACUCUAGGUUUGCUGAUGUGCUCCAUUUGAAAUAAAGGAACUAAAGAAUACUUUAUAAAGAUUAAUUACCUUCAUAUUUUAGGUUGGGGUUAAGGCAAAAUGUGAUAGAUUGAGAGGAAGAAAAUAUAUCUUGUUCAGGAAGCCAAUAUUUUGGAGUUCACCUUUCCAUUCGAGUCCACUCUGCUAUAGCAAAAUCAGAGUCACAACUAUGCCUCUUUAAGCUAUCCUUUAAUUGGAUGAAUUGCAGAUUUGGUUGCUGAGAAAGUGGAUAAGAAAGAAAAAUGCAUACUGUAGCUUGAGAUUAAGAGUUUGUUUUCUAAAAUGAGAGAAAGGGAAAGAGAAAAAAUGCAUAUUGUAGCUUGAGAUUAAGGGUUUGUUUUCUAAAAUGAGAGAAAGGGGAAGAGAAAUGUUCGACAACUUUGAGAUGACAAAUUUUUAGAUUUGGAAAAUUUGAGAUGAGUCUCAGGUUUUUUUUUUUUUUUUUUUGUCUUUGUCUUUGUUUUUUUUUUUUUUUUUUGUUUUUUUCCCAAAAACAACCUGUUAAUGUGGUUGUUGACAUAGAAGUGGGUGAGGGCAAAAUGGGCAUAGAAAAAAGAGUCAACACAAAGUGCACAAAACCCAUAUUAUUUUCCACAUUAAUGACUGAUUCUCAUAUUUCUUGUUCUUGGGAUUUGAAAACCAUAUUAUUUGCAAAUGGACCUCCCAAAGCACAGGUUUCCCUUAGUUUUAUGUCUCCAUCUACAUUUUACAUAUAAAUAGAUUAUUUUAUAAAAUUUGUUUUGUAGAUAUAUUAGUUAAUAAUUAUAUAAUUAAUGAUAUAGAAAACAUAUAAAAAUCAUAUUUAAAAAAGAUAAUUACAUAUUCCUCAACAAUCCAUCCCAAGAAUUCGAGGUUGAGUUGAAAACAUGUAGAGUCUUUGAUGUUAUUAUAAUCAUAUCCAACACAUAUGAUUAUUGUUUAUGAGAUAUUAUUAGAAAGUUUGUCUUAAAAUAAUUGAUUUAUUACCCACCUUUAGCAAAUGCCCAUUUUUGCGUCUUUCAAAAUUUUCAUUUUUUUUUUGUUUAAAAGAAGUAUUGUAAAGAAUGAUGAAAUAAGAAAUUUGUUGAGAAAGUGUGAGUAAAUAAUUUUACAUAAAAAGAGAUUUAAUACUUGAUAAAUAAAAUAAUAAAAUCAUGAUUUCUAGUUGUAUAGGGCCGGGUGGAUGGAGUGGCUAAGAUGUAAUUCUUGAAAUAGAGGAGACAACAUCAAUGUAUAAAAGUUUAACAGAGAAGGAAAGUGUGUUUGAAUGACUUUAUUUUCUUCAUUUAAAGUUUUGACGAUGAGUGUUUAUACAAGAUAAAUUUUCAAAUGAUAGGACUCCUAUUUACAUGGAGUUUGUGAUAUACUAUGAUUAUACAAAUUUAAAAUUCAAACAGAUUCAUGAGUUGAUAGGAGUCUGCUCAAUACGCCCCUUCAAAAUGGUGGGAGAUAGCACACCAAUCUUGACUCGAAGGGCCUAAACUCGUGCAGAAGAUGAGGGCUUUGUUAGAGCAUCGACAAGUUGAUCCGUGGUUGACAUAUGGGACACCUUGAGCUCACCUGAUUAAACCUUGUUUCAAACAAAAUGAAAAUCAAUCGCCGAUGUGUUUCAUGGAGAGUGAAACAUGGGAUUUGCACAAAGAUAUGUUGCACCCACGUUAUCACAAGAGAUAGGAGGUGGUGAUAAAUUUGAAACACUAAGUUUUGAGAGAAGAGAAUUAACCCAAAGAACCUUUGAGGCUGUAGAGGCCACGACGUGAUAUUUCGCUUCAGUGGAAGAGCGUGCUAUGAACUUUUGUUUCCUCGAUGACCAAUACACAAGAUUGUGACCAAGAAAAACAAUGGGAGCAUUGGUGGAGGAUCUGACAUAAGGAUUCCUUGCCCAUUCAACAUUCGAAUAUGCAUGUAGAUUGAUGGGCGAUUUCUUAUGCAAGAACAGACCAUGCACCAUUGUGCCGACUAAGUAUCUAAGCAAUCUUUUAACACAAGACCAAUGUGUUGAUGUUGGAUGGUGCAUAAAUUGAGAUAAUUUAUUCAUCAAGAAGGUGAUGUCAGGGCUAGUAAGAGAGAAGUAUUGAAGGCUUCCAACAAUUGACAUAUAUUUAGUGGGACCAGGAAAAGAGGUGUCAUCACACAGAUUUGGAACAUUGUUGAGGAACAUCAAUGAUUGAACUGGUUUGGUAGCCACCAUUUGUGUUUUCUUAAGAAGCUCUCGAAUGUACUUGAGAUAAAAAUAAUCCUUUGGAAGUAUGUAUCAUUUCAACACCAAGAAUAAAAGAUGAAGUCCUGAGAUCCUUAAUGGAGAAUUUGACUGCUAAUUGAGAGAUCACGCGAGCACGAAAAACAUUAUUGUUACUUGUUAAAAUAAGAUCAUCAAUAUAAAUAAGUAGGUAAACAAUGAGACCACUCUUUUUAAAAAUGAAGAGGGAUGUCUCGGUUUAGGAGUUGACGAAGGCUAUUGAGAGGAGAAAUUGGCAAAGUUCAUGAUACCAUGAUCGUGGAGCUUGUUUAAAGCCAUAAAAAGCCUUACAAAGUUGGCAAAUGUGAUGAUGUGUGUAUUCGUGAACCCAGGAGGUUGAAUCAUGUAAACAUCUUCAUGAAGUGUCCUAUGCUAGAAUGCAUUAUUAAUGUCCAAUUCAUGAGUUGAUAGGAGUCUGCUCAAUACAAUGUGGGAGUGUGAUUUCAAAAUUAGGGUAAUUUCGAAAUGGAUUUUGUAUUCACAAGUUGAAUUUCAAAAUUAUUUUGAAAUGGUCUUUUAACUUUAAGCAGUUGUGUUCAAAAGGUCAUAACUUCUUCGUUUCAAUUUUGAUUUACACAUUGUUUAAAACAUUGGACUCUUUACUUCCCGAGCUUCAAAACGAUAUAUAGUAUGCUCAAAAAUGACAUCAGGAUUGGUUCAAAUUUCAUCUUGAUAUUAGAGUACAUGUUGUGAUUAGAUUUUGAGUUCCAAAUUUCCAUGUAAACUUGAUUGCAUUUGCUUCAAACCUCCUUCAUUAUGGUUGCUUGCCCUCUAUCUCACUUUGCAACAUUUGUUACUAGUAUUUUAUGUCCAUGACUUACUCAUUUCAACCUUUCUUGGAUUCUUCAUGGUUCACAAAUUAUGGAUUCUUCAUGGUUCACAAAUUGAGUCUUUCAAUUAUGCAUGUUUAACUCCUAUUUCCUUGGUUGAUAAUGACUUUUACACUUAUCAUUUUCUUUUAUUCUUUAAACCUGAAUUUAGACUUACAAAAAAAAGUUAGAUCCAUAACUAGGGUCUUAGCAUCAAUUUGAGUUAAGUUGGAUGAUUUGAAAAUUUUAUAUUACAUAAAUCAUAUCAUACAUGUGCCAUUGGAGUGCACAUUUUGGCUCUAAUCAUGUUCCAACCCAUUGUUUUACUCUUGCAUGAAGUAUGUGGCCAUUGAUUUUAAUUUUAUUUGCGAUUAGGUUCAAAAUGGUGCUUUUGUGUUGCUCAUGUGUCAUCAGAAGAUCAACUAAUGGAUUCUCUAACAAAACUACUACAUCAUAGUCAUUUUUUUUUUUCUUAAGACCAAGAUUGAGAUCUCCAAUCGGAGCCAACUCCAUCUUGGGGGCAUGUUAGUGAAAGAUAAAAUUUAUCUUUAAUUUAAAUAUUAAUAUUUAUCAGUUAUUAGUUUUAAUUAGAGUAAAAGAUAGAGUUUAAAUUGGAGUAGGAGAUAAACUUGUGUUUGAACUAGAAUAGAAGAUAAAGUAUAAAGAUUUAUGUUUGAAUUAGAAUAAAAUAUAAAGUUUGAAUUAGAGUAGAAGAUAAACUUGUUCUUUAUUUGUAUAUAAAUAUUCAUCAAUUCUUGAGAAGAAGAUUAUUUCAUAGUUUUUCUAUCUUCUUUUUUCUUCAUACAUAUCUGCAAGAAAUUGAAGAUUUCAAGUAAAAUAUUUUCUGUUUUAAAUAGUGAAAAAAGCUAGAAAUUCACUUUGUUAUCUCUUGGGGUAAAUUGACAAGGUUUAACGUUAAGAAGGUGAAUUAUUUUUUCAGAAAAACUGAAGUAGCUAGGAUAUCUGGCCAGUUGUGAUCGAUAAAAAAGUUGUAAAAUCUCUCAUAUACUAAACAGGUUUUGGAUGUUGGUAUGGUAAAUCCAUCUGCAGUCAUUCGUCAUCUCAUCUAGUGAGAUGUUUGGGAGGUGGUGACCGCCGGAUUGGGUUUCAUUUGGUUAAAUCUGUCAGUGGGUUGGCUACUACCCGAGCCUCUUGCUUUGGGGGAGGUGGGUUCUAGAUAUAAUGUUCAAACCAUUUUAGUUAUCAUAUGCAUGACAUGUAAGCAUAAUCUCUUUAUCACUUCUUCAAUGGGAGUUCAUGGUUAGGAAUUGACUUCUUUUCUUCUGGGAUGCUUGGCAUGUAAUGGACAAAGUUACUUUUAUAUCGAUCGAAUUUCUAGUAUUAUAGUGAAGACUUACCCUUUUGACAUUUUAUAUCGAAUUAUAGAAGAUGAAAGGGACAUACAUGCAAUCGACUGACGCUUUAGUGAAUAUGCUGAAAAUAUGCUGAUGCUGUGGAGAUCGUAUGAGGACAGAGGAAAAAGAUAGAAAUGGAUAUAUAAUUAGACCUAGGUUUUUAUUAAAUGAGAUGGGGAACAUAGAGUGAGGGAAAAUCAAAAUUUUUGGCUGCAGUUCACAUUGGUGAUAUUUUGGAUUGACAAAGACUAACGACUUUUCUAUUUUUCUUUUCGGCCUGACUGGAUAGUUGGACAUGGACAAUACAGAAUCCACAGAAGGAUUGUUGGGACCGCUGAAAAUUAGCUAGAAGAAGCUGAGGAAGUAGUCUACGUAGUCAAAUACCAAACACAAAGAAAGAAAGAAAUGGAUAUCAUGGAUGCCUAGAGUUAUACUCCUAAUACCGUCACAGGUAUUUUUCUUUCCUCCUUUUUUUUUCUACGAUAAUUAGAGCAUUUCUCCUCCUCCUCCUCCUCCUCCCCCCACCCCACCACCAAAAAAUAAAAAAAUAAAUUAUUGCAAGUAACACUUCAAAUAUUAAUUUAUACAUUCUAAAGUAUAUAUUCAUGAAAUAACUUGAGUAUCAUACAUUAGUUCUCAAAAAAAAAAAAAAAAAAAAAAAAAAAUUACUGGAAGAGAAAAGUUUAAGAAAACAUAAAAAUAUUCAACUACUAUUUUAAAGAGAAAAUUUAAUUUUUACACUAUAAAUUUGAAGAGAACUUUUACAUGCAUCUUAUAUAAACUACCAUUUUUUGCUAAAAGGCUUAAAUUUGUCAAAAAUACCCCUUAGGUGCUUAACGUUCUGGUCAUAAUAUAAUUGGCAUCUUUUCUCAAACAUAAGGCCUGUGUGUGGGAACAAGAUUUAAUGUUAAUGAGCUUCGCCACCGACAUUUAGUUCCAGAAAUCAUUAUUUUAAUAGAGUGGGCUCAAUUUACAACUUUAAUUAAACUCUAACCAACUGCAUUGUGAAAUGAAUAUGUUUCUUUCGUGGUGAAUCCAAUGAGUUGGGAGUCAAACUUUGCUUCAUUGUGUAUAGAUGAAAUGUUAAGACUCCAUGUAACCUCAAACAUUUCCGCAAUNNNNNNNNNNNNNNNNNNNNNNNNNNNNNNNNNNNNNNNNNNNNNNNNNNNNNNNNNNNNNNNNNNNNNNNNNNNNNNNNNNNNNNNNNNNNNNNNNNNNUUCUUUCGUGGUGAAUCCAAUGAGUUGGAGUCAAACUUGCUUCAUUGUGUAUAGAUGAAAUGUUAAGACUCCAUGUAACUCAAACAUUUCCGCAAUGAGCGGGAGUUCUAAAUUUAAUAAUUGAAAUUGUCAGUGGAACCAGUGGACAAGAGUUGGUUUGUGGUUGACAAACUUAUCCGUUUGAUCUUUACUUGAACAGUUCCAGUGUGUGGAUGGGUACUGAUGAAGUGUGCGCAUUUAUUUUGAGAAGCCUGCUUGUUCGCAUAGAUUUUAACGACAUGAACAUUGUGGUAAGGUUAGAGAGUAAUGCGAAUGUAGGAGCUUAUAUUAGAAAUGACACAAACACGUAAAUAGAAGUAAUCUAUAUAUGAUAUUACUCAUGGACUACAAGCAAAGAAGUACAAUACAUGGAGUAAGUGAUGAAAUGAGCAUUCCUCACUACUACUGCUUGACUGAUGGAACAUGAUGCACGAGAUAGCAUAAGUAGUAGUAGGAAGCAGCUCUUAUUUGUGGCGUCGGUAUACAUCAUACUAGGUAGAUGGUUCAAUUGGCAUGGAUGGGUGGUGGAGCCUUGAAGUGCUUGUGAUGGGGAGCCCACGGCUUCUUCUCAGGAGUUGGUGGCUUCUUGUAUGGAGUUGAUGGAGGUGUUUCUACUGGAGGGUGGCCAGGGUAGUGACCCUGGGGUGGUGAAGGUUCUUUUGUCGGUGGUGGCCUCACUAUUAUUGGCGGUAGAGUUGGUGGCUUGGGCGUUGGCGGUGGUCUCACUACUCUUGGGGGUAGAGUUGGUGUCUUGUGUUUUGGUGGUGGAGGUGGCUUAACAGGAGUUGGUGGCUUGUAUUCUGGGGGUGGUUUCUCCACCGGAGGUGGCUUAUAAACUGGAGUUGGUGGCUUGUAUUCUGGGGGUGGCUUCUCCACUGGUGGUGGCCUGUAAACAGGGGUUGGUGGCUUAUAUUCUGGGGGAGGCUUCUCCACUGGAGGCGACUUAUAAACAGGGGUUGGUGGCUUGUAUUCCGGGGGUGGCUUCUCUACGGGAGGUGGCCUGUAAACAGGGGUUGGUGGCUUCUCCACCGGAGGUGGCUUAUAAACGGGGGUUGGUGGCUUGUAUUCUGGGGGUGGUUUCCCCAGUGGUGGAGACUUGUAAACAGGAAGAGGUGGUUUGUGCUCAUAUGGGGGUGGCUUGUGGUCAUUAGCAAGUGAGGGAGUGGUGAGGACCACCAAUCCAAGGAACAACACGAGUGAGCAAGCAGAAGACAU